CUCGGCGAGUGGCUCCUGAUUAAAUUACAAACCGGCGGCCGCUACGGGCAGCCAGGAGGAGGUGUGUGCGCUGCUCCCGCGAGCUCCCGGGCUCAGCAACCCGCCAAGCUUAAGAUUGGCCAUAUUUAAAAAAAAAAAAAUUAAGUGAGACUUGCGCCUUCCUCCCUGGAUCCUCCUGCCCCUCCUGGCUAAUUUUUUCAAGGUUCUAGCCAAGGGCCACAGAAGGAAGGAAAGCAAAAAGAAAUUAGUUGCCUGAGUGAUAAUUCCUGGCCGGGCUAAGGUGGACUCUCCUGCAGCCAGCUUCCUAUCAGAUCACCCUACUGGACUUUCAGACCGGAAUGGGGCUUGCCUAAGGUCCAGCCCUUUUCCCAGGGAGCCGGGAGCCGAGCCGUGCGGAAGCUGCUGCGUGUUGGAUGGGGGUAGGAGGGGGCUGGAGCGGGAUUUCUACUGUGCAGCCCGCCGGGGCGUUACGCUGGGCAUAAUGGAAUUGCAGAGGACGUCUAGCGUCUCUGGGCCGCUGUCGCCGGCGUAUACAGGGCAGGUGCCUUACAACUACAACCAGCUGGAAGGGAGAUUUAAGCAGCUACAAGAUGAGCGUGAAGCUGUGCAGAAGAAAACCUUCACCAAGUGGGUCAAUUCCCACCUCGCCCGAGUGUCCUGCCGCAUCACAGACCUGUACACUGACCUUCGAGAUGGACGGAUGCUCAUCAAGCUGCUGGAGGUUCUCUCUGGAGAGAGGCUGCCUAAACCCACCAAGGGGCGAAUGCGAAUCCACUGUCUGGAGAAUGUGGACAAGGCCCUGCAGUUCCUGAAGGAACAGAGAGUCCAUCUUGAGAACAUGGGGUCCCACGACAUCGUGGAUGGGAACCACCGGCUGACUCUUGGCCUCAUCUGGACCAUCAUCCUGCGUUUCCAGAUCCAGGAUAUCAGUGUGGAAACUGAAGACAACAAAGAGAAGAAGUCUGCCAAGGACGCGUUGCUGCUAUGGUGCCAGAUGAAGACGGCUGGGUACCCCAACGUCAACAUUCACAAUUUCACCACCAGCUGGAGGGACGGCAUGGCCUUCAAUGCACUGAUACACAAACACCGGCCUGACCUGAUAGAUUUUGACAAACUGAAGAAAUCCAAUGCACACUACAAUCUGCAGAACGCGUUCAACCUGGCGGAGCAGCACCUUGGCCUCACUAAACUGUUGGACCCUGAAGAUAUCAGUGUGGACCACCCUGACGAGAAGUCCAUUAUCACUUACGUGGUGACGUAUUACCACUACUUCUCUAAGAUGAAGGCCUUGGCUGUUGAAGGAAAGCGAAUUGGAAAGGUGCUUGACAAUGCUAUUGAAACAGAAAAAAUGAUUGAGAAGUAUGAAUCACUUGCCUCUGACCUUCUGGAGUGGAUUGAACAAACCAUCAUUAUUUUGAAUAAUCGCAAAUUUGCCAAUUCCCUGGUUGGGGUUCAACAGCAGCUUCAGGCAUUCAACACUUACCGCACUGUGGAGAAACCACCCAAGUUUACCGAGAAGGGGAACUUGGAAGUGCUGCUUUUCACCAUUCAGAGCAAGAUGAGGGCCAACAACCAGAAGGUCUACAUGCCCCGGGAAGGGAAGCUCAUCUCUGAUAUUAACAAGGCCUGGGAACGACUGGAAAAAGCGGAGCACGAGAGGGAGCUGGCUCUGCGGAACGAGCUCAUAAGGCAGGAGAAACUGGAACAGCUCGCCCGCAGAUUCGAUCGCAAGGCAGCCAUGAGGGAGACGUGGCUGAGUGAGAACCAGCGCCUGGUGUCUCAGGACAACUUUGGAUUUGACCUUCCUGCCGUUGAGGCUGCCACGAAGAAGCAUGAGGCCAUUGAGACAGACAUUGCCGCCUACGAGGAGCGCGUGCAGGCCGUGGUUGCUGUGGCCAGGGAGCUCGAGGCGGAGAACUACCAUGACAUCAAGCGCAUCACGGCAAGGAAGGACAACGUCAUCCGGCUCUGGGAGUACCUGCUGGAACUGCUCCGGGCCCGAAGGCAGCGUCUCGAGAUGAACCUGGGGCUGCAGAAGAUUUUCCAGGAGAUGCUCUACAUCAUGGACUGGAUGGACGAAAUGAAGGUGCUAUUACUGUCUCAAGACUAUGGCAAACACUUGCUGGGCGUGGAAGACCUGUUGCAGAAGCACGCCUUGGUGGAAGCGGACAUCGGCAUCCAGGCAGAGCGGGUGAGAGGUGUCAACGCCUCCGCCCAGAAGUUUGCCACGGAUGGGGAAGGUUACAAGCCCUGCGACCCCCAGGUGAUCCGAGACCGCGUGGCCCACAUGGAGUUCUGUUACCAAGAGCUUUGCCAGCUGGCAGCUGAGCGCCGGGCCCGCCUGGAAGAGUCUCGUCGCCUCUGGAAGUUCUUCUGGGAGAUGGCAGAAGAGGAGGGCUGGAUACGGGAGAAGGAGAAGAUCCUGUCCUCCGACGAUUACGGGAAAGACCUGACCAGCGUCAUGCGCCUGCUCAGCAAGCACCGGGCCUUUGAGGACGAGAUGAGCGGCCGCAGCGGCCACUUUGAGCAGGCCAUCAAAGAAGGUGAAGACAUGAUCACAGAGGAGCACUUCGGGUCGGAGAAGAUCCGAGAGAGGAUCAUCUACAUCCGGGAGCAGUGGGCCAACCUGGAGCAGCUCUCAGCCAUUCGGAAGAAGCGCCUGGAGGAGGCCUUGCUGCUGCACCAGUUCCAGGCGGAUGCCGACGACAUUGACGCGUGGAUGCUGGACAUCCUCAAGAUCGUCUCCAGCAACGAUGUGGGCCACGACGAGUACUCCACCCAGUCUCUGGUCAAGAAACACAAAGAUGUGGCAGAGGAGAUCGCCAACUACAGGCCCACCCUCGACACGCUACACGAGCAGGCCGGCGCCCUCCCACAGGAGCACGCAGAGUCCCCGGAGGUCAGGGGCAGGCUGUCGGGCAUUGAGGAGCGGUACAAGGAGGUGGCCGAGCUGACACGGCUGAGGAAGCAGGCACUGCAGGAUACCUUGGCCCUGUACAAGAUGUUCAGUGAGGCCGACGCCUGUGAGCUCUGGAUUGAUGAGAAGGAGCAGUGGCUCAACAACAUGCAGAUCCCAGAAAAGCUGGAGGACCUGGAGGUCAUCCAGCAUAGAUUUGAGAGCCUAGAACCAGAGAUGAACAACCAAGCCUCCCGGGUCGCAGUUGUAAACCAGAUUGCACGACAGCUGAUGCACAGUGGCCACCCGAGUGAGAAGGAGAUCAAAGCCCAGCAGGACAAACUGAACACGAGGUGGAGCCAGUUCCGAGAACUGGUCGACAGGAAGAAGGACGCCCUUCUCUCUGCCCUGAGCAUACAGAACUACCACCUUGAGUGCAAUGAAACCAAAUCCUGGAUUCGGGAGAAGACCAAGGUUAUUGAAUCCACCCAGGACCUGGGCAACGACCUGGCCGGCGUCAUGGCCCUGCAGCGCAAGCUGACCGGCAUGGAGCGGGACUUGGUGGCCAUCGAGGCGAAGCUGAGCGACCUGCAGAAGGAGGCAGAGAAGCUCGAGUCCGAGCACCCUGACCAGGCCCAGGCCAUCCUGUCUCGGCUGGCCGAGAUCAGCGACGUGUGGGAGGAGAUGAAGACGACCCUGAAGAACCGCGAGGCCUCCCUGGGCGAGGCCAGCAAGCUGCAGCAGUUCCUUCGGGACCUGGACGACUUCCAGUCCUGGCUCUCCAGGACCCAGACGGCCAUCGCGUCCGAGGACAUGCCCAACACCCUGACCGAAGCGGAGAAGCUUCUCACGCAGCAUGAGAACAUCAAAAACGAGAUCGACAACUACGAGGAAGACUACCAGAAGAUGAGGGACAUGGGCGAGAUGGUCACCCAGGGGCAGACCGAUGCCCAGUACAUGUUUCUGCGGCAGCGGCUGCAGGCCUUGGACACUGGAUGGAACGAGCUCCACAAAAUGUGGGAAAACAGGCAAAAUCUCCUCUCCCAGUCCCACGCCUACCAGCAGUUCCUUAGGGACACCAAGCAAGCCGAAGCCUUCCUUAACAACCAGGAAUACGUUUUGGCCCAUACCGAAAUGCCCACCACCUUGGAAGGAGCUGAAGCAGCCAUUAAAAAACAAGAGGACUUCAUGACUACUAUGGAUGCCAAUGAGGAGAAGAUCAACGCUGUUGUGGAGACCGGCCGGCGGCUGGUGAGCGACGGGAACAUCAACUCGGAUCGCAUCCAGGAGAAGGUGGACUCUAUCGAUGACAGGCAUAGGAAGAAUCGUGAGGCAGCCAGUGAGCUUCUGAUGAGACUGAAGGACAACAGGGAUCUCCAGAAGUUCCUGCAAGACUGUCAGGAGCUCUCUCUCUGGAUCAACGAAAAGAUGCUUACCGCCCAGGACAUGUCUUAUGAUGAAGCCAGAAAUCUGCACAGUAAAUGGCUAAAGCACCAAGCAUUUACAGCAGAGCUCGCAUCCAACAAAGAGUGGCUGGACAAAAUUGAGAAGGAAGGAAUGCAGCUCAUCUCAGAAAAGCCUGAGACAGAAGCUGUGGUGAAGGAGAAACUCACUGGUUUACAUAAAAUGUGGGAAGUCCUUGAAUCCACUACCCAGACCAAGGCCCAGCGGCUCUUUGAUGCAAACAAGGCCGAACUCUUCACCCAGAGCUGUGCAGAUCUGGACAAAUGGCUGCACGGCCUGGAGAGUCAGAUCCAGUCUGAUGACUACGGCAAGGAUCUGACCAGCGUCAACAUCCUGCUGAAAAAGCAGCAGAUGCUGGAGAAUCAGAUGGAGGUGCGGAAGAAGGAGAUCGAAGAGCUGCAGAGCCAGGCCCAGGCCCUGAGUCAGGAGGGGAAGAGCACCGACGAGGUGGACAGCAAGCGCCUCACCGUGCAGACCAAGUUCAUGGAACUGCUGGAGCCCCUCAGUGAACGGAAGCAUAACCUGCUGGCCUCCAAAGAGAUCCAUCAGUUCAACAGGGAUGUGGAGGACGAGAUCUUGUGGGUUGGAGAGAGGAUGCCUUUGGCAACUUCCACGGAUCAUGGCCAUAACCUCCAGACCGUGCAGCUGCUGAUAAAGAAAAAUCAGACCCUCCAGAAAGAAAUCCAGGGACACCAGCCUCGCAUCGAUGACAUCUUUGAGAGGAGCCAGAACAUCGUCACCGACAGCAGCAGCCUGAAUGCCGAGGCCAUCCGGCAGAGGCUCGCCGACCUGAAGCAGCUGUGGGGCCUCCUCAUCGAGGAGACGGAGAAGCGGCACAGGCGGCUUGAGGAGGCGCACAGGGCCCAGCAGUAUUACUUCGACGCGGCUGAGGCCGAGGCGUGGAUGAGCGAGCAGGAGCUGUACAUGAUGUCUGAGGAGAAGGCUAAGGAUGAGCAGAGUGCUGUUUCCAUGUUGAAGAAGCACCAGAUUUUGGAACAGGCCGUGGAGGACUACGCAGAGACGGUGCACCAGCUCUCCAAGACCAGCCGGGCCCUGGUGGCCGACAGCCACCCUGAAAGUGAGCGCAUCAGCAUGCGGCAGUCCAAGGUGGAUAAGCUGUACGCAGGUCUGAAGGACCUCGCCGAGGAGCGGAGGGGCAAGCUGGAUGAGAGGCACCGGCUGUUCCAGCUCAACCGGGAGGUGGACGACCUGGAGCAGUGGAUCGCUGAGAGGGAGGUGGUCGCAGGGUCGCACGAAUUGGGGCAGGACUACGAGCACGUCACGAUGUUGCAAGAACGAUUCCGGGAAUUUGCUCGAGACACAGGGAACAUUGGGCAGGAGCGCGUGGACACGGUCAAUCACAUGGCAGAUGAGCUCAUCAACUCUGGACAUUCGGAUGCGGCCACCAUCGCCGAGUGGAAGGACGGGCUCAACGAAGCCUGGGCUGACCUGCUGGAGCUCAUUGACACGAGAACACAGAUUCUCGCCGCCUCCUACGAACUGCACAAGUUUUACCAUGAUGCCAAGGAGAUCUUCGGGCGCAUACAGGACAAACACAAGAAGCUCCCUGAGGAGCUGGGGAGAGACCAGAACACAGUGGAGACCUUGCAGAGGAUGCACACCACGUUUGAGCACGACAUCCAGGCUUUGGGCACACAGGUGAGGCAGCUGCAGGAGGAUGCGGCCCGCCUGCAGGCAGCCUACGCGGGCGAUAAAGCCGACGACAUCCAGAAGCGGGAGAACGAGGUCCUGGAAGCCUGGAAGGCCCUACUGGACGCCUGUGAGGGCCGCAGGGUGCGGCUGGUGGACACGGGGGACAAGUUCCGCUUCUUCAGCAUGGUGCGUGACCUCAUGCUGUGGAUGGAGGAUGUCAUCCGGCAGAUUGAAGCUCAGGAAAAGCCAAGGGAUGUGUCAUCUGUUGAACUGUUAAUGAACAAUCAUCAAGGCAUCAAAGCUGAAAUUGAUGCUCGUAACGACAGUUUCACCAUCUGCAUUGAGCUGGGGAAGUCUCUCCUGGCGAGAAAGCACUACGCGUCUGAGGAGAUCAAGGAAAAAUUACUUCAGUUGACAGAAAAGAGAAAAGAAAUGAUUGACAAGUGGGAAGACCGAUGGGAGUGGUUAAGACUGAUUUUGGAGGUCCAUCAGUUCUCAAGGGAUGCCAGCGUAGCCGAGGCCUGGCUACUCGGACAGGAGCCAUACCUAUCCAGCCGAGAAAUAGGCCAGAGCGUGGACGAGGUGGAGAAGCUCAUCAAACGCCACGAGGCUUUUGAGAAGUCCGCAGCGACCUGGGACGAGAGGUUCUCUGCUUUGGAAAGGCUGACGACAUUGGAGUUACUGGAAGUGCGCAGACAGCAAGAGGAAGAGGAGAGGAAAAGGCGGCCGCCCUCGCCCGAGCCGAGCACGAAGGUUUCUGAGGAGACCGAGUCCCAGCAGCAGUGGGAUACUUCAAAAGGAGAGCAAGUUUCCCAGAAUGGUUUGCCAGCUGAACAGGGAUCUCCACGGGUUAGUUACCGCUCUCAAACCUACCAAAACUACAAAAACUUUAAUAGCAGACGGACAGCCAGUGACCAGCCAUGGUCCGGACUGUGAAGUUCACUACUGUUUGUCAAGAACCACUCUUUCCAAAUCCUGAUGGUUUGACUUUUUGGCUUCUACUUCACCCACAGUGUUACAAUUUUACUUAAUUCAUAGCCUUCCUUGGUUUCAUAUUUGUUUGCGUUUAAUUCAUGUUUAUUUGAGUCUUUUAACUGAUGGAUGCUCAGUUGCCUUAAAGCAGCAUACUUAUUUUUUAUUUAUGUGAGCUUUUUACUUUAUUGAGAUUUUACAGCAAAAGCCUUAACAUGAGUAAUUGCAAUUUAAUGAGAUUACAGCAAAAUGAAGAAGAAAACUAGAAUCCGACAGGUAUGAUGUAUCCAGUUAUACUAACAGGGUGCAGUAUUGCACUGUAUAUAGUCUCAUUUACAGAUGUUAUUAACCUGCGGUAGUUUACUCAUAGCUAGGAAGACUGGUAUAUGCAGAAGGAGACUUUAAGUACUACGAUGAAAACCUAAAGUCAGCUGUGUGACAUUCCAUUGAAGGGUGCACUCAUUUAUUGAAAAUGACAAGGAAAGAAAAAAGGAAGUUGGAUCUACUUGGGAAGCUGCGUGAAUUUUUAGGUGCAGAAUCUCAAAUGUUUUGAGAUCCGCAGAUCAUUUAUUACUUUUUACAAACCACCUUCUCUCUUAUUUUUUUCUGCCAAGUCCUGAAUUGGGAAUUCUAGGCUUACUGGCAGGAGAUAAUGCAGCCGGCCUGGGGAGUAAAGUGCCCGCCCCCGGCUGCCGCACCCUUGCCUUGGUCACUGUCGGCACCGCCAGGACGCCGCAGGUGACAGCAGUGUCCAGCAUGUUUCGGAAGCCUGCGUCCUGGACUUCCGGGCCUGUCCAUUCAGCCGAUGACUUCAGGGUGUCAAACUGUUUAAGUUUUUUAAACAUGGAGCAAAAGCCAUCCUGGUUCACCCUGAUUUACUUGAACGAUGCACGCGGUGGACCACCCCUAGGAGCAGUUGCACGCCUCCUGGCUUCAGAAGUCAAGUUUAGCAUCUCUGUAGACAGAAACUCCGUUGUGUGCCUGGUUGCAGAUCUUCUGAUUCGUUUUUCAUUUUCUUAUGAAAAUGAAGUUCUUCUAUGGAGUUCUCUAAUAAGAAGUCUUUUAGGAUGGCAUUUGUCAAACCACCAGCAGGGAUUGAAAAUGUUUUAACAGGAAUGCUGUUCCUUAGGAAUAAAAGCUGAUGAAAGAGGUGAUUUCCUGGUACUGAUCAAGACAAACCUGAACCCCUGUUACAUCAAAGCCUCGCGAGACAUUCAUUUGCUCAUUUGCCAUAUUUAGGUGUUAGUGGAAUCAGAAACCUGUUUUGAUAUGUGUUCUCCAUGAGUUAAGUCUAAUUUGUCUUUUCAUUUCAUGAUGCAUGUCUUUUUUUUCUUUUGUCAGGAUAACAUCAUGUAGCAUCUUGUUUGUUUUUCCUUAUUUCUAUGUACAUAUCUAUCUACUUGUGAUUGUAGAUGGGUAUAUAGAUAGAUGCCAAGCUUCUUACGUUCGGGGGGUAGUGUGCACCACCAUUGGGUCUCUGCCUUAAAACACACCAAAUUCCCUGUUUAGGAAAACACCACUGCUUUAUCUUUGGUCUUUAAGGAGCCCUGGCAUGUGUUUUUGGCUCCAAAUUAUAUGUCAUUGAUCUAUAUGUAUAUGUGAUAUUUCCAUAUAUAUGUUUAAAUUUUGUAUCAUCAGGACUGAUACCCAAUUUUAUGCUUUUUGUAUUCAAAAGACCAAAAACAAAAAAAAAAUACUACAACCGCAUAAGCACACAAGAAAGAAGUGCUAUAAUGUUUUUGGCAUUUGUUCUCAUGCCUAUUUUUAUCUAGAUUUUUAAAUUGUAACUUGCCAGAACAAAAUUUUAAUUGCAAUUUGGGUUGUAUUGGAAGAAGAAAAGCCUUUUCAUUCUUUUGAGUUAUGGUGCAGAGACUCAGGUUAAUGAACUUGAAAAAAGUGUUGCUUCGUGCACUUCGAAAACCAAUCGGGUAUUUCUUGUGCUACUAGUUGUCACGUUGCAUUUGUGUUCACCUUCCCAUUUAAAUAUCUCAGGUGUACUCAGCCACUAAAGCACUGUGGACUAAUCGCUAAAGAGAAGCAACGUGGGUGGGGAGAGGGUGUGUUCACGUGAACCCACUGUUCGGUCACAGCACGAUGAUUUGCUUUUGAUGUUUGUCUCUAGUGGUGUGUUGUCUGUUGGCAUGCUUAAGCACAUGUCCAUUAAAAUUCAUUUUGUUCCUUUUAUUUUCCUUGUAUUCUUGGUUAGUGAUUCAUUUGCAUAAACAUUAAUUGUCUCUGCAUACUGGUUUGGGGUUUUCUCUUUCCUUCUAACUCCAAAGAAAAAAAUUUUUGCUGCAGAAUUUCUCCCAGAAGAGGCUUCCCUGGCCUUCACCUCCCCUCGAAGUCUGACCAAGUAUGAUAAAUUUUAGCCUUUUUUAAGUAAACAUUUCUCUAUCCAGGUUAUUGCUGUCACUAGUCACUAGUUUUCAAGUCACACCUGCAGCACUAAUUUUUUUUAACCUGAUUUCUGUACACACUAACCCCAUGUCUCCUGGACUCAACGCUUGGCACAGGCCUUCCACACCAAACUCACACUGCCCACUAGAAAUUUCGCGAAGUCUCCCACUAGAACAGAUUUGUCAACUUUAAAAUCCACUCACUUCCUUUUGACUCCAGGUUUUUUUUGUUUUUGUUAUUUCCCCUCCUGCAUCUCUCCUUUAAAAAUGAAGGAGAGAAAUACUAAAAUAGCCUGUUGCUCAUAAGCACGGGUCUACAGGCUGUCACUUGCAAGGCCAGGGCAAUCACCAUGCAUCUCCCGCCCCCAUGCCUUUCUGCCCUAAGAAUCCAUUUUCCAUAUUGCUCUGUGGGUAAAGGGUUCCAAUCAAAAACAUCCUUAAAUUGCAUAGCUGCUGGUCUCCCCUAAGCCCUGAUGCUAACGAUGAUAAUUUCUAUAGAUGGGUUAUAAAUCUGUGACUCCUGUCCAGCCACUUAGAUAAGACCCAAACGAGAGGUCCCAUUCCUGAGAGUUGACAUAUCUGAGUGUUCAAGCAGUGGUGGCCAGGCUACCGUUCAUGCUGUUGAGGUUGUUGCUGCUGAUUUGGUGUCCUUUUGGUUCUGGGCAGCAGUGGUGGGGGAUAUAGCUAAUGAUCGUUGCCAUUGACACCUCCAUGUUUGUUUGUGUAUGAGGGGAGCCAGGUUGUCUGUAAUCCACUAAAGUGUCAGCCACACCCAGCUUUAGUAACUCGCUAAUCCCACACCCUGGGUGUAUCAGCCGGGGGCCUCUACAGUUAAUGGUACACAGUUGACAGUACACAGGCUGAAAGCGAUAAUGAAUCGAGACCCUACUGCAUUUCCCAAGCCGCAAAGCCAUGAGGGUUACACUAUAAAUGAGCUUGGGAAGGAACAGCUCCCGAAGACGUCUCCAGCCCGAAGGGUCAGAGCCGCUGGAAGCCUGGCUGUCUCUGGGCUUUCUCGUCUCAGUGCAGCAAGGCACCGUGAUCAACCAGCACGUGAUGGGGAAGGCCCUGGUUCUGUCUUUGUUUGGGGGUAAAUAGCCGUGUGGUGUUGAGUGACUGUGAUUGGCUUUUCCAGCUCCUUUAACACAAACUACAACCCACUCACGAUACAACUUCGGCAGAUGUGGUUAAAUUGAUGUUUGUUGACUUGCCUCAUUUCCUUCCAGCUCUUAAGUUCCAAAGUCUAACUGGGGUGGUAGAUGUGAAAGUGCAUGAUUGUCGUCCUAAUUUCUGCAUGUAUUCAUGACGAUGUGUUGAGGGGAGGGGGAGGAGAGCCAGAGAGCAUUUUCAGAAACCGAAGGUCUUUCCUUGUCUUACUCUGGGGGAAUGCUGUGUAGUUCUGAUAGAGUUGUCUAUCAAUCUGUUUGUGAAUGCCCUUUCGCUUAAAUUUCCAGCCCUUCUGGUGGCGUCCUUGGUUGUAAGGUGGCUGCUGUAUAACGUCCACUCUCUCAUAUUUAAUAUGUGUGAUUGUUACCGUUGUCCUUUCGUUUUUAAAGUAACCCUAAGAGGAAAUGAUCUGAGUUACAUUAGAGAAAAUGGAUUGAUCAGAGGAGCAGAGUGCAGUAAAACUCAUACUGGCAUUUCGCUUUUCUCAUUUCCCCGUAAACGGGCGGGCAUUAAUCCCUUCCCACCUUCUAAUGUCCUUGGUGUCCAGCUGGCUUUGUGGGAUGUGCAAUGGUUUUACUGUACUGCCUCGAUCUGUGCCAGGCAUUUAUACACAGCCACGUGUGCGAGUCAGUCAGAGCGUAUGUGGUCACCGCCCUGAAUCACGGGGUUCGCUGAAUAGCCUCUCCACUGUCCCUAGAUGGCUGAAACGGUGGAUACAAGCGAAAUGGUCAAUGGCGCUGCAGAGCAGAGGACAAGUUCCAAAGAGUCCAGUCCCAUCCCCUCCCCAACCUCCGAUCGCAAAGCCAAGACUGCCCUCCCAGCCCAGAGUGCCGCCACCUUGCCGGCCAGAACCCAGGAGAUGCCUUCGGCCCAGAUGGAAGGCUUUCUCAAUCGGAAGCACGAGUGGGAGGCCCACAAUAAGAAAGCCUCAAGCAGGUCCUGGCACAAUGUUUACUGUGUCAUAAAUAACCAAGAAAUGGGUUUCUACAAGGACGCAAAGACAGCCGCCUCUGGGAUCCCUUACCACAGCGAGGUCCCAGUGAGUCUGAAAGAAGCCGUCUGUGAAGUGGCCCUUGACUACAAAAAGAAGAAGCACGUGUUCAAGCUCAGACUAAAUGAUGGAAAUGAGUACCUCUUCCAAGCCAAAGACGAUGAGGAAAUGAACACAUGGAUGCAGGCCAUCUCCUCCGCCAUCUCCUCUGAUAAACAUGAGGUGUCUGCCAGCACCCAGAGCACGCCAGCAUCCAGUCGGGCGCAGACCUUGCCCACCAGUGUCGUCACCAUCACCAGCGAAUCCAGCCCCGGCAAACGGGAGAAGGACAAAGAGAAAGACAAAGAGAAGCGGUUCAGCCUUUUUGGCAAAAAGAAGUGAACUCCUUUCUUUCACCUCCUGCCCUUCUCUUAACAUUUUCAGUGAAAUUCCAGCAUGCAAGCUCAGAACCAACACAUUAUUCUCUGUGCCUAACGUUCCUCAAUGUGGUUGAUUUUUUUUUUUUUUUUAAUUUAUAGAGCAUUUCUGGGGAUGGGGUGGGGGAAAAUACACCUAAACACUUUAUCUCCAAGUUACAAAAGUUUGAGGUGCAGAGGGAAGACCAGAUUUUUUUAAGUGAAAUUAUAUAGGUUAGAUCUCAAUAUUUAAACUGUUCCUCAAUUUUGUGAGGCUGUGUUGGAAAUAACUCGCCUCUAGUGCUGUUGGUAUGGAGGGCAGCGGUGCUUAAAACAAUAUUUCCUGUGCUCACCAGAGACAAAAUGUACCAAUUUCCUGACACCAUUCUCUGCCAUUUACUCCCAGUGGUUACCUUGAGUUUUGACUAUUAGAGGUGCCCAUGGUGGGACUCACCUUGAUUAAACAGAUUGUGUAUUAGGAGCUCGCUGCCGCCAUAGUGCAGCUCCAUGUUAACUGUACAGACCAAAUGUUCGUAUCAGCAGCACUUACUAACACACGACAUGCGGCUUUUCUGCAUCAGCUGGGACGACGGUUAAGAAUGUCGCUAUACGAGAAGGAAUAGAAAACUGAUACUGUUUUAAAUAAUCUGUAAUUUCAAUUUUUUUUUUGCUGAAAUACAUUAUAUUGUAUGUUUGAGAUAAUUCUAGUACAAAGUAUAAUAAAACUAGAUGUAUAAUAAACCCUUUAAAUCAUUGGUAAGUGUAAAAGUGGAACUGAAGCAUUUACUGGACAAAGUAAUGUUACUCUAAUGGUUACUUGCUCGUGCGUUGCCACACUGUGUUAUAAUUUGCUUCAUUACCUUGCUAUUUGAUACAUAGUGUGCAUUUCUCUGUCACUGUAACGAUUGUAAUGACAAAUUUUCAUCUUACUGCACAAUCAAAACGGCAUUGAUAAGAAUGAACCCGGGAGGCUGGGCCUGAGCAGGAAAAUGGUCGGUCACUCAGGCCCGGUGCUCAGUCGUAUUACUUGUACCUCUCAACUCUUUCCCUAUCUGUUAAAUAUAUGCGAUGUCAUUAAAUGCUUUUAAAUCUA